UACUACAAACAAUUAGGAAACAAUUCCCGGAGCAAAUACACCAAUUAAUAAAAUCCUACCUAAGCAGCAGAACCUUCGUAAUAAAAAUCAAGGACACACAUUCUCAAGUUAAAGACAUCAAGGCCGGGGUACCACAAGGAAGCGUUCUAGGCCCAAUACUAUACACAUUAUACACGGCGAACAUACCAACAACUACCAACAGCACAGUAUUGACAUUCGCGGACGACACAGCUAUACUAGUCAGGCAUACUAACCCAGAAACGGCAGUCAAAAUACUACAAGAACAUAUCGUAAAAAUAGAAAAUUGGCUACAAGAAAAACAAAUAAAAGCAAACCCCAAUAAAUGCAACCAUAUUACAUUCACGCUACGGAAAAAGAUACCACCAAACAUCCUAUUGAACGGCACGCAUAUAACGCAAACAAAGCAUGUCAAAUACCUAGGACUCCAC
rnacentral:misc_RNA from 1 species